rnacentral:rRNA from 1 species
GGCGGUGUGCUUCACACAUGCAAGUCGAACGGAGUAGCAGCAAUGCUACUUAGUGGCGGACGGGUGAGUAACACGUGGGAAUCUGCCCUCAAGUGGUGAAUAACUGGCCGAAAGGCUAGCUAAUGUGCCAUACGUCGAAAGAUGAAAGCAGCAAUGCGCUAGAGGAUGAGCUCACGCCCGAUUAGCUAGUUGGUAAGGUAAAGGCUUACCAAGGCACCGAUCGGUAGGUGGUCUGAGAGGAUGAUCACCCACAAUGGGACUGAGACACGGCCCAUACUCCUACGGGAGGCAGCAGUGGGGAAUUUUACACAAUGGGGGAAACCCUGAUGUAGCGACACCGCGUGAACGAAGAAGCCUUUCGGGGUGUAAAGUUCUGUCAGCAGGGACGAAAAAAAUGACGGUACCUGCAGAGGAAGCAUCGGCUAACUACGUGCCAGCAGCCGCGGUAAGACGUAGGAUGCAAGCGUUGUCCGGAUUUAUUGGGCGUAAAGAGUUCGUAGGUGGUUCAUUAAGUCUGAUGUAAAAGGCUCGGGCUCA